UCAAUUCAUUUACGUUAAACUUCUAGCGGUUACGUCUCCUCAUUAUCUCCACCAUUACGAAACUGAUUUAUCAUUCAGCAACCACUUCCAAUCUUCUUCUUUUAAUUACAAAAGUGACAAAACUUACCACAAAUGGAGAGCUGUAUGCCCGAAUCGGAAGGAUUCUGAUUGAAGAUUUCCGUUGAGCUGUAUGUACGUGGCGCUCGGUGGAGGACGUCGGUUCUGGGUGGAUCGCGGCCGUAGCCGCUGAUGAUGGUGGUGGUCGGGUUAUCACGGUUUGAAGCGGCGUGCUGUGGAGGUUACGCCCGAUGUUUUGUCGGAAAUGUUGUUCUAAGAUGUGUGUAGCUCAGGACGCUAACGACAUUGACGAUGGCACCUUGGAGAUAGGGAUGGGUUUAUGCAUCACCAUUCCACAAUUGUGUUAAGGCUAUUGAACCGGUUUUGCUUUUAAGAUGUUGAAUAAAUAUACUGGAAGAACGACGGGCUGUGUCGAUCUUGGCCAGAAGGGUGAUGCUCGCGGUGAUUGGUUUCGCUUUUUGAUGACCCUUCACAGUGGUCGGGUUUGAUUAAACGGAUUUUCAAACAUCAAUCAAUUGGUUCCAGAUGAAUCCCAGCGAAAGCCUCCCUGUUUUCCAAAACGGGUCUCACAUCAUUUACAAGGAUAUUGAUAUAAUUCAGUAUGUUCCCUUCGAGUUUUCAUUCUGUCAUAAUUGCUUUCAAUAGAUGUUUAUAAUUUCAGAAACUUUAUUUUAAAUGCUUUUAUUAUAAAAGGACGUUUUAUAGGGUCGUGGAUUUUUCAGGUACAUAGAAAGAAUUGUUGUGGUCUCUGCAGGGUCUGAGGAUGUUAGUAGCAAUAGGAAGGAAGUGAUUGAAUGGAUGCAAAAGAUACAAUAAUGGAUUCCUAAAUAUUUUACUCUUUUGCAUAUACCAGACAAGUCCAAUCUCAAUUAAUGUUUGAUGGAUGUCAAGUGAGUGAAGUGAAUAUCUCUCUGGAUGAUAUUACUAUCUCCUUCAUUGGCGUAGGUUCUCCAUAAUGUAUUUCUUUAUUUAUAUUGGAUUAGUAUGCUUCUGUUGAGCCAUGGUCAAAAUACAUGUUUCACUUUUUUAUGUGAUUGCUAACUACGUAAUUUGCUUCCGUGUUCUGUACAUGUUGAGGUGUGUCGUGUAGAAUUGUUAGGUAGUAGAUAAAGUGUUGUUGUAGCACCGUGGUGCAUUGGAAUUUGGACUUGCUACUUUUUUUGUGUGACCAAGCCGAUGAAAUUGUUCUGGAUUCUCGAGUUUGGCAUAGAACUUCUGCUAUGGCUAAGUUUUGAAUUGUUGAAGGCGAUGAAGAGAUGGAGAUUGUUUGAUGACUUUCUGUGAAAUUGGAGAGUGAGUGAUGAAUGAAUGUUGAAGAAGAGAAGAGUUGAAGGUGAUUUUUGCAGCUUUAUAGGUUGAUUCAGUUGGGAGAAAUCAGUUAGAGAUUCAGUUACAAAUUGAAUGGAUGAGAUGGUUGAUUCGGUUAAGAGAGUUCUGUUAGUGAAUAUGCGAUUCAGUUUGUGGUGUGGUAAGAAUUUUAUGUGGUUUGACUUGAUGUUGGGGCAACUGCAGGAUUGAGGGCUUUGGCAGGGUAUGCUUCUGAUAGGAUCUUGCAAGCGGUAAAUAUUUCUUGGUGCGUGCAUACUCAACAUUCUAAUCCGUACUCAGGAUUCUAAUGUUGCUUGCCAUAGCCAUACUUCAAGCUGCGGUUGGAAGUCAAGCUAUCAUCACCGGAACUUUCUCGAUAAUCAAACAGUGUUCCUCUUUAAGAUGCUUCCCGAAAGUCAAAAUUGUUCACACGUCGUCCAAAAUACAUGGCCAGAUUUACACUCCUGAGAUUAACUGGAGUCUGAUGAUUCUUUUCUGUGCUGUUACAUUUGGUUUUCGAGAUACCGAACGCCUCAGAAAUGCUGCAGAAGAAGCAUAUGUUCCGGAGAAUGCAAACACUAUUAAACACCUGCAAGCUACUGCCAGAAAGGAAGUCCUCCCACUUUUUGGUCUUGAAAAGAUUUGGAAAAUCCUCAAAAUCUUCCAAAAUAGAGCAGCAACUAAUCAUGCGGCUAAGGAAAAGCAGAUGGAGGAGUGAGUCUUGGAUGUGCUGGCAACACAGGUGCUGCAGGGACAUAUUAUGAUGCUGUUCCUCGCAGUCUUACCAUUUGCAAUCAUAAUCUGUCCACACAAACUUAUACACUUAUAUUAGAGUUUCCUAAGGCGCCUCUUUGGACAAAUAUUUAUAUCUAGAAUCAGGCCAAGGCAUUGUUUCCUUUAUACUGGAGCCAUGUUCAGGUGAAGUUGUACAUGGUUCAGUUUGGUUCGAUAAAGAGCAUUCAAUUCUUUCUAUGUGAAGGAACUUGAUGAGGCUUUAAAAACGAUUGUCUUUAUAUACAUGACAGUUCCAACCAACCAGUGCAAGUGAGUUGAACUUGUGACCUUGAAGGUUGUUGUCACGAUUGUUGAGCGGUUGAAGUGAGGAAACCCGGCGGUGAUGUGAGGCAGAUAUUCACGGUUGUCGUGUUACAAUGUGGCUGUUUGCGUUGGUUCAGCAGCGAUGGUAUGAUGGAGGAGUAUUGUUGAUGCGGUUUUGAAUGGUUGAAAGGUGGGUAUUGUGUGAAUGGUUGUUGUUAAUAUGAUGAGGACAUAUUGCUAUUCAGCAAGCUAAGGACAGAUUGCUAACUGACAAUGCAGCCUUUGAAGUUAUAAUCAUGAAACUGAUCCCUAGAGUAUCAGUCAUGGAGAGCAUUGGUUCACUGAGAAUAACUGGAGCUUACAGGCUCAUGACACUUUUCAGUAUUUUACUGCUUCUGCCUCAAGUCAAGAUAGGCAGUAGUAGAUGUAACUUCUGCAGUUUCGUUCCGAGAAUGAUCAGUCCACGAAACAACAAGGUUGAGCUGUUGGUGACUCAAUAAAUGUUGAAGUCUCAAGGAAUAAAGAAUUUAGGCUGCCGUCCAUCUUGUGCAAUACGGUUUAUUUCUAUCAUGAAUUAAGUUAAUAGAUCCUAUGGUACUCAAAGGAACUCAUGUGCGAUCGAGGAAGAGUCUUCGAAGGUAGUUCUGAGAUGGAGGAGGGGUAUAUAUCUCAGUUGCUUCUGUUUGGUGCAAGAGAUGGUAACUCAGUAGAGUAAUUUAGAGGGUUCUGUAAGGCAUUGCCUUAGAUCCGUGAAAGUAUUUGUAACCAGUUACAAUUUGGUCAUAAUUUUCCGGCGUCAAUCUAUUAUGAGCAAGCUGUGAGUGUGGUUUCGCUGUAGAGGAAAAGUUGAGAAAAGAAAAACCGGAUCUUCGGAUAGAAAUGGUGAGGUGAUUACCAUGGUAGUAAGCAAAUGGAUGGUGGUUUUGGAAAGUUUCAUUUGAAUAGGCCAGUCCAAUUUCGAAAUACGGAGGCAUGCUAGAGGCUUUAAUAUCCGGUGGUUCUUAGAUCGAGAUUUCGUCACACAAGAACUUGCAUUGUUUAGCAGUAUGUAAUAAAACUUAUAUGUCUUUGAAUGCCCUGAUUGGCAUGUGUUGAAGGUUUUAAUGGAUGAUUAUUUAGAUUGCUUACGUGAUCCUGAAACCUUGGUUGUUGUUAAUUUCUGUAGCUUUUUCAAAUGUAAACUGAAAAGAAAAGGAUAGAAUUGGUGAGCGUAGUUUAAGUUGUUUCGGGAAUAUUCUUUACUUGUAUCUUGAAUAUUAUGAGUUGGAUAAUUUUUGUAUUCUUUUCAUGUUU